rnacentral:lncRNA from 1 species
UCCACACCGAUCAAACACACAUCAGAAUGUUCAAUAUACUCAGAUCAGCCAUGGUCAUGCAGUUACCUCUGAUUUGGAUUGAUUGAAAGACAAGGACAGAGAAGAAGAGAACCAUAACAACCUCUCUUUACACCCAUAACCACGAAAUCAACAAACUCUUUCUUCAAAACCCAAGAACUGCCACAUCAACCUCUAGGAGACCCUCUACAACCUCUCCUUAAGCCUCAUUGUAAAGAUACGAUCCCUUUGUUUUUUUUUAAUUCGCCAGUUAAUGGUCCCAUACUCACUGCACACUGAAAUAGAUUAAACUAUUAAACCAGAUUAAACUGACUAAACCAGAUUAAAUCAGUCAAACAACCUGCAGAAGAUCAAUUAGAGAUGUUAAUCCAAUAAACCAAUGUUAAAGAACCAACAACUACCCAAAAUAGCAUAGUCAUCCUAACAUGCUUCUAAGUUCCAAAACCUAACAACUUAACAAUGUCUUAGAAUAAUCAAAACAUCCAACGAGUGCCAAUAUCAUUCUUCUCUCCUUGCCUUAAUUCCAUGGUCACCCUUUGCCUUUACUUGCAUCACAAACAAGAUAUGCAUAAGUAUUGCCAUAAAUACUUAGGGAGGCAAUCAUCCCAACAACUUGGCUAUAAACAAGAGCGAUACAAAUCACAUUCAGGUAAAUCAAGUAAAACAACAUCAAACAACAAACUCAAUCGCCUACGGAGGACUGAUGUCGGUCGACACUCGCGCCUGAAACCCUAAUUGACGCGUAGUGUUGAUUGACACUCACCAUUGUGUCGAUUGUCACUCGCGACCAUCCUCGCGACAUAGCUGAUUGGUGUCGAUCGACAUCGAUAUCGUAACAUCACAACAAUCACUUCUCCUCGACGGAUCUCCAUUUUUUUGCACUCCAGGAACGAUGAUGUCUUUUUAGAAGGUCGUACAGAGGCACCAAUACAUAAAAACAAUCACACAAGCAAAGGAAUAAACCAAAUUAAUAAUGAAAUCACAUAAAACAAUGACCAAACUGCUCAAAUAAGCCUUACUGCAAUCACAUCCUAAUUGGAAAGAACCCUCCUAAUACUCACAGCCACGAAACUCUCCUUCUCUUUGCUAAAACUUCCAAGAACAGGCCACAUUACUCCACAAACCUUUGAAAACCAAACUUUGGAUCAACUCUCACUUUCUGUUCUUUUUUCUCCACUUUCAAGAAACGAGAAAACACCU